rnacentral:rRNA from 1 species
AUACGAAGGGUGCAAGCGUUACUCGGAAUUACUGGGCGUAAAGCGUGCGUAGGUGGUUGUUUAAGUCUGUCGUGAAAGCCCUGGGCUCAACCUGGGAAUGGCGAUGGAAACUGGGCGACUAGAGUGUGGCAGAGGGUAGUGGAAUUCCUGGUGUAGCAGUGAAAUGCGUAGAGAUCAGGAGGAACAUCCGUGGCGAAGGCGACUGCCUGGGCCAACACUGACACUGAGGCACGAAAGCGUGGGGAGCAAACAGGAUUAGAUACCCUGGUAGUCCACGCCCUAAACGAUGCGAACUGGAUGUUGGGUACAAUUUGGCACGCAGUAUCGAAGCUAACGCGUUAAGUUCGCCGCCUGGGGAGUACGGUCGCAAGACUGAAACUCAAAGGAAUUGACGGGG